rnacentral:rRNA from 1 species
GCCUCCUGCAAAAUCCGAAGUAUAGGAGGUCUUGCCUGCCCAGUGAUAAAUUAAACGGCCGCGGUAUUUUGACCGUGCGAAGGUAGCGCAAUCACUUGUCUUUUAAAUGAAGACCUGUAUGAAUGGCGGAACGAGGGCUUAACUGUCUCCCUUCUCCAGUCAAUGAAAUUGAUCUGCCCGUGCAGAAGCGGACAUAUAUAUACAAGACGAGAAGACCCUUUGGAGCUUAAGAUAAAAGAUCAACCCCGUCAAGAGUAAUCAAAACUAAACUAAAUGGUAUCUGAUCCUUAUCUUCGGUUGGGGCGACCACGGGAGAAAACAAAGCUCCCACGCGGACCGGGGCUAAAGCCCUAAAACCAAGAAAGACAUUUCUAAGUAGCAGAAUAUCUGACCCAUCAGAUCCGGCAAAUGCCGAUCAACGGACCAAGUUACCCUAGGGAUAACAGCGCAAUCCCCUUUCAGAGUCCAUAUCGACAAGGGGGUUUACGACCUCGAUGUUGGAUCAGGACAUCCUAAUGGUGCAGCCGCUAUUAAGGGUUCGUUUGUUCAACGAUUAAAGUCCU